UUCCGGUUGAUCCCGCCGGACCUGACUGCUAUCGGAUUGAUACUAAGCCAUGCGAGUCAUUGUAGCAAUACAAGGCAGACGGCUCAGUAACACGUAGUCAACCUAACCUAUGGACGGGAAUAACCUCGGGAAACUGAGAAUAAUGCCCGAUAGAACACUAUACCUGGAAUGGUUUGUGUUCCAAAUGAUUUAUCGCCGUAGGAUGGGACUGCGGCCUAUCAGUUUGUCGGUGAGGUAAUGGCCCACCAAGACUAUUACAGGUACGGGCUCUGAGAGGAGUAGCCCGGAGAUGGGUACUGAGACACGGACCCAGGCCCUAUGGGGCGCAGCAGGCGAGAAAACUUUGCAAUGUGCGAAAGCACGACAAGGUUAAUCCGAGUGAUUUGUGCUAAACGAAUCUUUUGUUAGUCCUAGAAACACUAACGAAUAAGGGGUGGGCAAGUUCUGGUGUCAGCCGCCGCGGUAAAACCAGCACCUCAAGUGGUCAGGAUGAUUAUUGGGCCUAAAGCAUCCGUAGCCGGCUCUGUAAGUUUUCGGUUAAAUCUGUAUGCUCAACAUACAGGCUGCCGGGAAUACUGCAGAGCUAGGGAGUGGGAGAGGUAGACGGUACUCGGUAGGAAGGGGUAAAAUCCUUUGAUCUAUUGAUGACCACCUGUGGCGAAGGCGGUCUACCAGAACACGUCCGACGGUGAGGGAUGAAAGCUGGGGGAGCAAACCGGAUUAGAUACCCGGGUAGUCCCAGCUGUAAACUAUGCAAACUCAGUGAUGCAUUGGCUUGUGGCCAAUGCAGUGCUGCAGGGAAGCCGUUAAGUUUGCCGCCUGGGAAGUACGUACGCAAGUAUGAAACUUAAAGGAAUUGGCGGGGGAGCACCACAAGGGGUGAAGCCUGCGGUUCAAUUGGAUUCAACGCCGGA
rnacentral:rRNA from 1 species